rnacentral:rRNA from 1 species
AUACGGAGGAUGCGAGCGUUAUCCGGAUUUAUUGGGUUUAAAGGGUGCGCAGGCGGCCAUUUAAGUCAGCGGUUAAAUCGUGGGGCUCAACCCCAUUCUGCCGUUGAUACUGGGUGGCUUGAUUGCGGUCGAGGUUGGCGGAAUUCGUUGUGUGGCGGUGAAAUGCAUAGAUAUGACGAAGAACACCGAUUGCGUAGGCAGCUGACCAGACCGCAAAUGACGCUCAUGCACGAAAGUGCGGGGAUCGAACGGGAUUAGAUACCCUGGUAGUCCGCACAGUAAACGAUGAAUACUUGUUUUCGGCGAUAUAAUGUCGGAGGCAAAGCGAAAGCGAUAAGUAUUCCACCUGGGGAGUACGCCGGCAACGGUGAAACUUAAAGGAAUUGACGGGG